AACGAACGCUGGCGGCAGGCUUAACACAUGCAAGUCGAGCGCCCCGCAAGGGGAGCGGCAGACGGGUGAGUAACGCGUGGGAAUCUACCCAUCUCUACGGAAUAACGCAUGGAAACGUUUGCUAAUACCGUAUCCGUCCUUCGCGAGCGAGAUUUAUCGGGGAUGGAUGAGCCCGCGUUGGAUUAGCUAGUUGGUGGGGUAAAGGCCUACCAAGGCGACGAUCCAUAGCUGGUCUGAGAGGAUGAUCAGCCACACUGGGACUGAGACACGGCCCAGACUCAUACGGGAGGCAGCAGUGGGGAAGAUUGGACAAUGGGCGCAAGCCUGAUCCAGCCAUGCCGCGUGAGUGAUGAAGGCCCUAGGGUUGUAAAGCUCUUUCACCGGUGAAGAUUAUGACGGUAACCGGAGAAGAAGCCCCGGCUAACUUCGUGCCAGCCGCCGCAGUAAGAC
rnacentral:rRNA from 1 species